GGCGGUGUAGCCAAGUGGUAAGGCAGAGGACUGCAAAUCCUUUAUCCCCCAGUUCGAAUCUGGGCACCGCCU
rfam:Micromonas sp. RCC299 chloroplast, complete genome.